CUACGGGCGGCUGCAGUGGGGAAUAUUGCACAAUGGGCGCAAGCCUGAUGCAGCCAUGCCGCGUGUAUGAAGAAGGCCUUCGGGUUGUAAAGUACUUUCAGCGGGGAGGAAGGGAGUAAAGUUAAUACCUUUGCUCAUUGACGUUACCCGCAGAAGAAGCACCGGCUAACUCCGUGCCAGCAGCCGCGGUAAUACGGAGGGUGCAAGCGUUAAUCGGAAUUACUGGGCGUAAAGCGCACGCAGGCGGUUUGUUAAGUCAGAUGUGAAAUCCCCGGGCUCAACCUGGGAACUGCAUCUGAUACUGGCAAGCUUGAGUCUCGUAGAGGGGGGUGGAAUUCCAGGUGUAGCGGUGAAAUGCGUAGAGAUCUGGAGGAAUACCGGUGGCGAAGGCGGCCCCCUGGACGAAGACUGACGCUCAGGUGCGAAAGCGUGGGGAGCAAACAGGAUUAGAUACCCUAGUAGUC
rnacentral:rRNA from 1 species